GUUCACCAUUUUGUGUGUCCAAGGACCACCUACUUUUUACAUAUGACAAGAACUACCCACCUCCACUCUUCAGGACAGAACAUGCUGGAGAAAAGAGUUACAAUGAGAAAAUAUAUGGGAACAAAAUACCUAUGCAAUGCAGAAGUCUGCAUAACUAAACCACUCAGAGGAAAAAAAUUGCCAUUUCAGGACACCUCCUACAUCUGAAGAAAUAUGUAUUGAUCUUGAAAUAUUUUUCUCCUCCAAAUAAAAGUCAGUAUGAUAACAACUACACUAUCAGAAGUCUAAGCCAAAGGACACUUCAGUUAUCCAAUCUUGCAACAAAGUCAUUUAAGCACCUAAUAUGGGCUACUGUUGGCACUAGGGGCAUUGAGAACUUCAGAUUUGAUUAACACCCAAGAGCUGCUACCAUAAAAUAAACUAGGCAGCUACUAGGCAAUAAGAUGAGGCACAUGUGUAAAACUUCUGCUUUUAGCUUGGUGAAGAGUGGUUACACAGCCAUUAUUACAAAAAUUGCAUUUUUCCACAAAUAAAGACAUCACUUGUCUAGAGAGUA
rnacentral:lncRNA from 1 species